rnacentral:rRNA from 1 species
AACGAACGCUGGCGGCGUGCCUAACACAUGCAAGUCGAACGAGAAAGGGGCUUCUUCUCCGAGUAAAGUUGCGCACGGGUGGGUAACACGUGGGUAACCUGCCUCUCUGAUUGGGAUGACUCGUCUAAAGAUGAGCGAAUACCGAAUAAGACCACAGUUCCCACGGGAACAUGGGUCAAAGGUAGCCUCUGUUUGCAAGCUAUCACUUAGAUAUGGGCCUGCGUACCAUUAGCUAGUUGGUAGGGUAACGGCUUACCAAGGCAAAGAUGGUUAGCUGGUCGGGGGGAUGGUCAGGCCACAUGGGAACGGGACAAGGGCCAGGAUUCUAAGGGGAGGAGCCGUGGGGAAAAUUGCGGCAAUGGGGGAAGGUUGGCGGAGGAACGCCGGGGGGGUGGUGAAGGGCUUCGGGUCGUAAAGAUCCGUCGGGAGGGGAGAAAGAACUGGAGGUUAAAAGCCUCGGGACGUGACGGUACCUAAAAAGGAAGCACCGGCUAACUAUGUG